GUUUUUUUUCCCUCUGCAUUACUUUCACGUACUGCUCAGAUGUGGCACAUUUCUGCAGAGGUUGUGAGGGAACAUCUUCAACAUGCAGAUCAGAGACUUGGUGAAGUGACAGCCAGUUCAGGGCGUGUCCAGAGGGGUGGCAAGGCCCACCAUGAAAUCUUAUCGGCCACCCCAUGUGGUAACGAGACAGGCAUGCAGCUCCAUCUGCUGCACAAAGGCCUCAAUGUGUACGAAGCUGGCCCACCUGAAAUCCUCAACUAAAAUCAUCAGUGGAUCAUAACUCUUCCUUAAAAGGAUAAGAUGAAGUCAGCACACCAGAAGCUGAUCCAAUGGGAAAUUUAAUGAAAAAUAUCACCACAAGUAACGUUUUGGGCUGUUCGAAUGGUGUUCCUGUUGUUAGUCUGUGUUGCUGGUCAGGCCCUGUGUGUCGCCUACAUGUCUGAGGACUGAGGCCAUGACAGUGUAGACACUUCACUUGUGACACACCAGUUGUGACAGAGAGAGGCCUGCUGCAGGGCCAAAGAGACAGCAGGAUGGAUUCUGCUUUUAUUUGUGUUUACAAAAGAGGGGUGGGGUGGUCCUUGAA